rnacentral:rRNA from 1 species
CGGCAGGCCUAACACAUGCAAGUCGAGCGUGAAAGGGGCUUCGGCCCUGAGUAAAGCGGCGCACGGGUGAGUAACACGUGAAUAAUCUGCCCCCAUGACCGGGAUAACAGACCGAAAGGACUGCUAAUACCGGAUAAGCUUCCGCACCAACCGGGUGUGUGGGGAAAAGGACGGGACCUUCGGGCCGUCCGCAUGAGGAUGAGUUCGCGUUCCAUUAGAUAGUUGGUGAGGUAAUGGCUCACCAAGUCGACGAUGGAUAGCUGGUCUAAGAGGAUGAUCAGCCACACUGGAACUGAGACACGGUCCAGACUCCUACGGGAGGCAGCAGUGGGGAAUCUUGCGCAAUGGAGGAAACUCUGACGCAGCCAUGCCGCGUGAGUGAUGAAGGCCCUCGGGUUGUAAAGCUCUGUCUAAGGGGACGAAUGGCGCACGGAACAAGACAUCGUGCGAUUGACGGUACCCUUAAAGAAAACACCGGCUAACUCCGUGCCAGCCGCUGC